UUGACGGUGUACUCCCAGUGGUCGUCGUCCUCGAUGAUCGCCUGGUAGGUGAAGUGGUCGCCGUCGGCGAGGGUCUCCAGCACGGUCUCGUCGUCGUACUCGCCCGCGCCGAUCUUGUUCACCUUGCCGUGCGCGAUGAGCACGACCUGGUCGGCCGGGCUGCCCGCGGCCACGAGGACGUCGCCGGGCGCGUACUCCUGCUGCACGAACCGGCCCGCGAGCGCGGCCAGCACCUCUUCGUCGUCGAAGUCGUGCAGCAGCUGCAACUCGCGCAGUUCCUGCGGGAUGACCCGGAAGUCCGCGCCGGUGUGGGUGAAGGUGACCCGGCCGUCGCCGACGGUGUAGCUGAGCCUGCGGUUGACCCGGUAGGCGCCGCCGGAGACCUGGACCCACGGCAGCAGCUUGAGCAGCCAGCGGGAGGUGAUCCCCUGCAUCUGCGGGACGGACUUGGUCGUGGUCGCGAGGUUGCGCGCGGCCGCGGUGCCGAGGCUCAACUGCGGCGCGACACCAUUCGG
rnacentral:antisense_RNA from 1 species